CAUCUGUUGGUCAGAAAGUGACAUUGCAGGUAACGGUCAAUAUACGGGGCAUUUAAGGUCGAGUAAGGGACAAACCAAUGACAGUAUAGAAAUCAGUUUUGCGCAUUAUACUGUGGUAUCCCUUAGUUGCCACUUGCCUAAAUUAGGAUUAUCUUCCAGUGACAAUUCCCAAAUAUAACGGUGUAAGAGAAGCUGCAAAGAUCACUGACAUGACAUGUGAAGAGAAAUCUGAGAUCUCCAUGGCAAAGACACGUCAGCUGUUGUCAGAAGCUCAGUUACUUAUGAGAGACAUUGAAGAGAUGAUGAAUUGGUGUGCCUCGUUAGAUCUCUCCAACCAGAGACAUCAAAGAAUGAAUCAGCAGGAGUGUCGGGCCAGCAUAGAGGAGGACGGAGAGACCUUGGUCAUAGAGGGCUUCAGGUUUGAGAGUGCAGCAAGCAGGCAGGAGCUGAAGAGGCUGAGUUCACAGGCUGCUGCAGGAGGAUGCCAGGGUGACACGUGACUGACUUCCAACUUUGUGAGUCCAUUAUGCAGGCUGAUCAAGGUCGCAUGACUGACAGCAGUAGAGGAAAAAAAACAGAAUAACACAUGUUUACUCUUAUAUAUAUCUCUGAAGCCAUAUAUAUAUGAUCUGGUAUAAAGAAUACUUACUAUUUUAAGGAAAAGUGUUUAUAAAUAUUUUCUGUAAGACUAAAAAUUUCCAUUUCUUGUUGGUUUUUAAAAAAUAUCUUUUAUUAGUAGUUCGUCUGCUUGUUGUAUUCAACUGUGGUGCAUUUAAUUAUAGUGCUGGACAUAUUCCCCGGUAUGCAACAACACGCUGUGAAUGAGAGCUGAGGGGAGGACAUGGUCUGCUCUCUGAUUACACGGAGCUUUUAGGCUGUUCAGUGUCUUUCCUGUUUAUACUGUAGUGUAGCUCGUGAGUGCUUUUAUUAUAGUGAAGUUUCAUAGCUCACUGUACUUACUAGUACAGCUGGCUUAACAAAGUACUGUAUUAUAAAUAAAAUAUUACAUUGCCUUUCUUGGA